CUUCAGAAGAGGAAGAAUUCACCACAGGUAUGAGAAUAACAAUGAUACCACUGAUCAUCCGUGGUUCAGUUGUGGCUUUUUUUCUCAUUGUGACCUCAGUGAUGCUGGUGUUCUUCUGCAGAAAACAACAUCAAAGAAAAACAACCGGAUGCAGUGAGAAAACCUCCCAACAUGGACGGUGCAGAUGUGGGGCCGUACAGCACCUUCAUCCCCACUGAGGCUGGACUUUACUCAGUGGUCCGGCUUCACUGCUCACCGUCACUUCGAGAAUUCAGACAGGGCCACAAGAGAAAACCCCUCUGGGCGUUUUCAAAGUGGUCUCAACACAGAUAGAACAGAUCAAAACUAAGAGCUUUAUUAGACGAACAUUCAUACCAGCAGAUGGAUUAAAUAAAGAAAAGACCAGCAUGCUGUCAAGAGAUGAGUCCCUUCAAUACACACCUCACUGUAAUUGUCGGUCUGACCACCAGAGGGCAAUAUUUCACUGUGAAAUUAACCCUGUUUUGCCUCGCUUGGUGUGCUUGUCACACUGCACCGCACACUGCCUCUGGGGCCU